rnacentral:rRNA from 1 species
UUUGUACGGGAAGAACAAGGGGCACGUGUGCCCCUCUGACGGUACCGUAAGAAUAAGGAUCGGCUAACUCCGUGCCAGCAGCCGCGGUAAUACGGAGGAUCCGAGCGUUAUCCGGAAUCAUUGGGUUUAAAGGGUCCGUAGGCGGGCCAUUAAGUCAGGGGUGAAAGUCUGCGGCUCAACCGUAGAAUUGCCCUUGAUACUGGUGGUCUUGAGUUAUGGUGAAGUAACUAGAAUAUGUAGUGUAGCGGUGAAAUGCAUAGAUAUUACAUAGAAUACCGAUUGCGAAGGCAGGUUACUAACCAUAUACUGACGCUGAUGGACGAAAGCGUGGGGAGCGAACAGGAUUAGAUACCCUGGUAGUCCACGCCGUAAACGAUGGAUACUAGCUGUCCGGAUGCAAAUCUGGGCGGCCAAGCGAAAGUGAUAAGUAUCCCACCUGGGGAGUACGUCCGCAAGGAUGAAACUCAAAGGAAUUGACGGGGGCCCGCACAAGCGGUGGAGCAUGUGGUUUAAUUCGAUGAUACGCGAGGAACCUUACCAGGGCUUAAAUGUGGUCUGACAGCUUUAGAGAUAGAGCCUCCUUCGGGCAGAUCACAAGGUGCUGCAUGGUUGUCGUCAGCUCGUGCCGUGAGGUGUCAGGUUAAGUCCUAUAACGAGCGCAACCCCUGCCGUUAGUUGCCAGCAUGUAAAGAUGGGGACUCUAACGGGACUGCCGGUGCAAACCGCGAGGAAGGUGGGGA